AUUGAACGCUGGCGGCAGGCUUAACACAUGCAAGUCGAGCGGAGAUGAGGUGCUUGCACCUUAUCUUAGCGGCGGACGGGUGAGUAAUGCUUAGGAAUCUGCCUAUUAGUGGGGGACAACAUUCCGAAAGGAAUGCUAAUACCGCAUACGUCCUACGGGAGAAAGCAGGGGAUCUUCGGACCUUGCGCUAAUAGAUGAGCCUAGGUCGGAUUAGCUAGUUGGUGGGGUAAAGGCCUACCAAGGCGACGAUCUGUAGCGGGUCUGAGAGGAUGAUCCGCCACGCUGGGACUGAGACACGGCCCAGAAUCCUACGGGAGGCAGCAGUGGGGAAUAUGGGAAAAUGGGGGAAACCCUGAUCCAGCCAUGCCGCGUGUGUGAAGAAGGCCUUAUGGUUGUAAAGCACUUUAAGCGAGGAGGAGGCUACUGAGACUAAUACUCUUGGAUAGUGGACGUUACUCGCAGAAUAAGCACCGGCUAACUCUGUGCCAGCCGCCGCGGUAAUAC
rnacentral:rRNA from 1 species